GACGAACGCUGGCGGCGUGCUUAACACAUGCAAGUCGAACGGAAAGGCCCUGCUUUUGUGGGGUGCUCGAGUGGCGAACGGGUGAGUAACACGUGAGUAACCUGCCCUUGACUUUGGGAUAACUUCAGGAAACUGGGGCUAAUACCGGAUAGGAGCUCCUGCUGCAUGGUGGGGGUUGGAAAGUUUCGGCGGUUGGGGAUGGACUCGCGGCUUAUCAGCUUGUUGGUGGGGUAGUGGCUUACCAAGGCUUUGACGGGUAGCCGGCCUGAGAGGGUGACCGGCCACAUUGGGACUGAGAUACGGACCAGACUCCUACGGGAGACAGCAGUGGGGAAUAUUGCACAAUGGGCGGAAGCCUGAUGCAGCAACGCCGCGUGCGGGAUGACGGCCUUCGGGUUGUAAACCGCUUUCGCCUGUGACGAAGCGUGAGUGACGGUAAUGGGUAAAGAAGCACCGGCUAACUACGUG
rnacentral:rRNA from 1 species